AAAAAAAUAGUUAAAUUAUUAUUAAUUCUUUUAUAGAAAUUAAACAACUUUUUAAUAUAUUAUUUUUAUAAUUUUAAGUGAUAUUUUUUAAUAUAAAUUAUAAAAAAAUAAACAAAAUAAUAAUAGAACGCUGACGAAACAAGACUACAUGCAAUAACUUGAAAUAAUUUUUCUUUUGAAAGAAAGAUAACAUGCUAUCCGAUUCGAAAGUUUUCUUUUAAAAAUAAACUUAGCUAUAAAUGUCAAUUAAUUAAUAUUCGAACUUAAAAUUUCAGAUAUUAACCACCAAAGCUUUUGCCAUUAGCGCUAGCGACCGACGGUCCGUCGGUCGGUCAAUAUCUUGAAAUAUUGAUAAGGUAAAUAUAUAAUUUUAAAAGUUUGAAAGAAAAAGUAAAAAAAAGAAAAGAAAAAAAGUGAGUAUAUAUUUAGAAAAGAAAGAAUUUCUAUAAUUUAGCCUAUUCCACUAUAUAGAUUAAAUUUAAAAAUUGAAAAUAAAUGGAGGAAUUGCGCACCUGUUGCCGACAAGUGAGAGGUCGAAGACGGUGAGCGUGGCGGGAAUGCGGCCGGAGAGGCGGUUGCCGUCGAGGCGGAGGAAGGAGAGGUCGGGGAGGUGCGGGGGGCCGAGGAAGGCCGGGAGGGGCCCGUAGAGGCGGUUGUAGGCGAGGUUGAGGGACUGGAGGGCGGAGAGGUUGGCGAUGGCCGGAGGGACGCGGGCCGAGACGUUGAGGGCGAAGACGGUGAGGGAGGUGACGCGGCCGGUGGUCGAGUCGCACUCCACGCCCGACCAGGCGGAGCAGCAGGGGCUGCCGGACGUCCAGGAGGAGAGCCCGGCCGGGUUGCCGAAGGCCGCCUUGAUCUCGAUCAGCGCCGCCUUGUCGCCCCCGUCGCAGGCGGCGGCAAAGGCGAGGAAGGCUGCGGAGGAGAAGAGGAGGAGGGAGGAGAGGAUCGCCGAGGGUGUGAGAGGAGCGUACGGCAUUGUUUGAGAUUGAAAUUAACUACGGGGCGUGCUGCGUGGUAGUAUCAUGUCGGUGGAUGUGAAGAGUGGAAUAGAGGAGAGAGAUCAGGGUGGUCUUGUUAUAUACGGAAAAAAAAACUAUGUGCCCCACCAACAAUCAAUCACUGGGUGUCUAUCUAUCUAUUUAUCUAUCUAUCUAAUCUAAGAGCUAGAAAUCAUUCACUAAUUAUAUGAGAGUGAGGCUACUAUGCUAUCGGAAGCACGGAGCCUUCCGUGCUUCCAGCUCGUUUUUAAUGUUGCAACUUUCGAAUCGUCGAUCGGCUCCGUUAAACUUGAUCUAGAGUAUUUGGAGUACCUAGAAAAUAAAUUUUAUUAUUUUUCGAUAUUAUUUGCCUAGUGAUCGAAUGGGCUCAAAAUCAACAAAUUUCAAUGACCGUAGUGAGCCGUUUGCAAGUUAUCCAAAUCACGUGAAAUUUUGAUAGAAAAUUCUUUAUACUAUAUAAAACAAGAUUAAUAUCUUUGAUUUAAAAUUUUAAUGUCAUAUUAUUUCAUUUUGUAAGAUUUUUAUUUUCAGCCGUUGAUUUUGAGCCCCUUCGUUCACUAGGCAAAUGAUAUCGUAAAAUCAUAAAAUUUAUUUUCUAAAUACCUCAAAUACUCUAGAUCAAGUUUAACGGAGCCUAUCGACGAUUCAAAAGUCGCAAUAUCGAAAACGAGCUGGAAGCACGGAAGGCUCCGUACUUUCGAUAGCAUAGUAGCCGCACUCAUUAUCUAUUACUCUCUAUGAAUCCCCAAUGUUUUAAGCUGAUGUGUCAUAACCUCCUAAUUUUAAAAUUUUUUUAAUUUAGAAUGAUCCAUUUUAUUCUCUCUCUCAACAUACGUCUCUUCAUCUCCCCUAUUUAAUUUUUAUUUAGAAUGAGCCAUUUUACUUUCUCUCUCAACAUACGUCUCUUCAUCUCCCCUAUUCAAUUUUUAUUUAGAAUUAGUCAUUUUACUCUCUCUCUCUCUCAACAUUCGUCUCCUUAUCUCCUUCAUUUUAUUCUCUCUUUCUCAACAUACGUCUCUUCAUCUCUCCCAUUUAAUUUUUAUUUAGAAUGAGCUAUUUUACUCUCUCUCUCUCUCCAUCGUUGGUAGAUGUACCAAGUGAGAUAUAUAAAAAAAAUUUAAUAUUUUAUCAUUAUUAAUUACUACUAUAGUUUCUACCCGCUGCAAAGCGCGGGACUCUUCACUAGUAUGAUAUGGAUUGUAGAGCGAAUUUUAUUCUUGAAUGAGAUAAUAUAAAAUUUACAUCUAUUUUUAAAUGUAUGCCUAGCAUUGCUCUACCAUAUGCAGCUGGGAGAGUCAAUAUUAAUGGGCCAUCAUCAUCUACUCUCUAUCUAUAAUUUCANAUAAUUAUCAUAAUAUAUUUAAUUAUUAUAAUAUAUAUAUAUAAUUAAAAAAGGAGAGAGAGCUAGGUUCACUGCUCUCUCUCUCUCCUCUCUCUCUCGGUCCGCGAGGUGAAGCACACUUCGUGGACCGCGUGUGAAAGGAUGAGCCGUGCCACGCCUGUGAGCCGCGACUUUUUUUCUGUAGCUUUUUGUUUUCCGCUCUGUCCAAGCGGAAAAAGAAAACGCGAUUUUUCCGCGUAUUCGUAAAAAAAGCUUUUCCGAAAAAGUUUUUUUACAUAGAACCAAACAAAGAAAAAAUAUCUAAAAAAAAAUUUUUGAACUAGUUUUACAUGAAUCCAAACACGCCCUUGGAUAGCAGAGGGCAAAAUUUUUAAAAGUUAGCCCAUGCCUAACCAUUUAUUAACCAGGGUAAAUUUAGCGUGGUAACCUCGGGAGACAUUUACGAUAAUUAUUUAUUAUGAUUACAGAAGUAUAUGCGAUAUUUUAGAUUUUUAUAUAUAAUAUAAUAUAUAAGCAUGAAUUUGAGAGGGACGGACGUCCAUGAGAUUGCCUCCAUUAUAUAUUAUUUUAUAACAAAUCAAUGGUAUAAAAAAAUUAAUAAUUAUUUCAAUAUAUAAAAUAUAUUUAAUAUUGCUAAUUAAAUUUAGUGGAUUCAUAAUUUUAGUUAUCUUCUAAGCUAAAAUAUAUAAAAUCAUCUUAAUUAUAAACCGGACUUUCAAAAAUUUAUAUAUUUAUCUGUUUAAAAUUUUAAAAAUAUUUUAAGAAAGAAAGAACAUUAAUGAAGCGAACAAAAUAGUUAAAUUAUUAUUAAUUCUUUUAUAGAAAAUAAAUAACUUUUUAAUAUAUUAUUUUUAUAAUUUUAAGUAAUAAAUUAUAAAAAAUUAAAUAGAAUAAUAAUAGAACACUGACGAAACGAGACUACAUGCAAUAACUUGAAAUAAUUUUUCUUUUGAGAGAAAGAUAGCAUGCUAUCCGAUUCGAAAGUUUUCUUUUAAAAAUAAACUUAGCUAUAAAUGUCAAUCAAUUAAUAUUCGAACUUAAAAUUUCAGAUAUUAACCACCAAAGCUUUUGCCAUUAGCGCUAGCGAGGGACGGUCGGUCGGUCAAUAACUUGAAAUAUUGAUAAGAUAAAUAUAUAAUUUUAAAAGUUUGAAAAAAAAAGUAAAAAAAAUAAAGAAAAAAAGUGAGUAUAUAUUUAGAAAAGAAAGAAUUUCUAUAAUUUAGCCUAUUCCACUAUAUAGAUUAAAUUUAAACAUUGAAAAUAAAUGGAGGAAUUGCGCACCUGUUGCCGACAAGUGAGAGGUCGAAGACGGUGAGCGUGGCGGGAAUGCGGCCGGAGAGGCGGUUGCCGUCGAGGCGGAGGAAGGAGAGGUCGGGGAGGUGCGGGGGGCCGAGGAAGGCGGGGAGGGGCCCGUAGAGGCGGUUGUAGGCGAGGUUGAGGGACUGGAGGGCGGAGAGGUUGGCGAUGGCUGGAGGGACGCUGGCCGAGACGUUGAGGGCGAAGACGGUGAGGGAGGUGACGCGGCCGGUGGUCGAGUCGCACUCCACGCCCGACCAGGCGGAGCAGCAGGGGCUGCCGGACGUCCAGGAGGAGAGCCCGGCCGGGUUGCCGAAGGCGGCCUUGAUCUCGAUCAGCGCCGCCUUGUCGUGCCCGUCGCAGGCGGCGGCAAAGGCGAGGAAGGCGGCGGAGGAGAAGAGGUGGAGGGAGGAGAGGAUCGACGAGGGUGUGAGAGCGUACGGCAUUGUUUGAGAUUGAAAUUAACUACGGGGCGUGCUGCGUGGUAGUAUCAUGUCGGUGGAUGUGAAGAGUGGAAUAGAGGAGAGGGAUCAGGGUGGUCUUGUUAUAUACGGAAAAGAAAAACUAUGUGCCCACUAACAAUCACUUUCUGGGUGUAUAUCUUGCUCCUCAUCUAUCUAUCUAUCUAAGAGUUAGAAAUCAUUCACUAAUUAUAUGAUAUGGAUUGUAGAGCGAAUUUUAUUCUUG
rnacentral:lncRNA from 1 species